rnacentral:rRNA from 1 species
AGUGAACGCUGGCGGCGUGGCUUAGGCAUGCAAGUCGAACGCGAAAGCCGCAAGGCAAGUAGAGUGGCGAAAGGGUGAGUAAUGCAUAGACAAUCUACCUCUUGGACCGGAAUAACCGCUGGAAACGGCGGCUAAUGCCGGAUGGUCCGGCGCGUGGGAUUCCUCGCGCCGGUAAAUAGGUCGGUUUCGGUCCCGUCCUGCCAAGAGAGGGGUCGUAUGUCCUAUCAGCUUGUGGUCGGGGGUAACGGGACCCGACCCAACGGACGGACCGACGGGUAGGCCGGACCGUGAGGAGGUUGGGUUCGGGCCGACACUGGGACGUGAGGACACUGCCCACGACUCCUACCGGGAGGGCUGCAGUCGAGAAUCUUCC